rnacentral:rRNA from 1 species
UGCAGUCGAACGGGAUUAUUUUUGUAGCAAUACAGAAAUAAUUCAGUGGCGAACGGGUGCGUACAACGUGGGCAAUCUGCCGAAAAGUGGGGGAUAGCUCGCCGAAAGGCGAAUUAAUACCGCAUGUGGUGAGGGAUGACAUCUUCCUGAAUCCAAAGCCGGGGCAACCUGGCGCUUUUUGAGGAGCCCGCGGCCUAUCAGCUAGUUGGCGGGGUAACGGCCCACAAGGCUAUGACGGGUAGCUGGUCUGAGAGGAACGACCAGUCACACUGGAACUGAGGCACGGUCCAGACACCUACGGGUGGCAGCAGUCGAGAAUUUUUCUCAAUGGGGGCAACCCUGAAGGAGCGACGCCGCGUGGAGGAUGAAGGCUUUCGGGUUGUAAACUCCUGUCAUUUGAGAACAAGUGCCAACAAGUAACUACUGUUGGCUUGAUAGUAUCAGAAGAGGAAGGGACGGUAACUCUGUGCCAGCAGCCGGGGUAAUACAGAAGGGUCCCAAGCGUUGUUCGGAUUCAUUGGGCGUAAAGGGUG